rnacentral:rRNA from 1 species
UACGAAGGGGGCUAGCGUUGCUCGGAAUUACUGGGCGUAAAGGGCGCGUAGGCGGAUAGUUUAGUCAGAGGUAAAAGCCCAGGGCUCAACCUUGGAACUGCCUUUGAUACUGGCUAUCUUGAGUUCGGGAGAGGUGAGUGGAAUGCCGAGUGUAGAGGUGAAAUUCGUAGAUAUUCGGCGGAACACCAGUGGCGAAGGCGACUCACUGGCUCGAUACUGACGCUGAGGCGCGAAAGCGUGGGGAGCAAACAGG